UACGUAGGGGGCUAGCGUUGUCCGGAUUUAUUGGGCGUAAAGAGCGUGUAGGCGGCCAGGUAGGUCUGCUGUGAAAACUCGAGGCUCAACCUCGAGACGUCGGCGGAAACCAUCUGGCUAGAGUCCGGAAGAGGAGAGUGGAAUUCCUGGUGUAGCGGUGAAAUGCGCAGAUAUCAGGAGGAACACCGAUUGCGAAGGCAGCUCGCUGGGACGUUACUGACGCUGAGACGCGAAAGCGUGGGGAGCAAACGGG
rnacentral:rRNA from 1 species